AACUGAUCCUCACACUGCUAUACAAGACACAGUCCAGUUUGGCUCCUCAUCCUGAGUGCAACAAUGGGUCUGUUGACAGCCUUAGCCAUCGCAGCAGGGGCAGGUGGAGCAUUGGUCUCUGCUCCUGUUGUCCUGGGGGCCGUAGGUUUCACCUCAGCUGGAAUAGCAACUGCAGCCGCUGUGGGCAAUGGAGGAGGAUUUAUUGCAAAUAAUGUAUCUAAAUGUAUUUGUAAGGCAUUGAAUGA